GAUGAACGCUGGCGGCGUGCCUAAUACAUGCAAGUCGAGCGAACUGACGAGGAGCUUGCUCCUCUGACGUUAGCGGCGGACGGGUGAGUAACACGUGGAUAACCUACCUAUAAGACUGGGAUAACUUCGGGAAACCGGAGCUAAUACCGGAGAAUAUAUUGAACCGCAUGAUUCAAUAGUGAAAGACGGUUUUGCUGUCACUUAUAGAUGGAUCCGCGCCGCAUUAGCUAGUUGGUAAGGUAACGGCUUACCAAGGCAACGAUGCGUAGCCGACCUGAGAGGGUGAUCGGCCACACUGGAACUGAGACACGGUCCAGACUCCUACGGGAGGCAGCAGUAGGGAAUCUUCCGCAAUGGGCGCAAGCCUGAUGGAGCAACGCCGCGUGAGUGAUGAAGGUCUUCGGAUCGUAAAACUCUGUUAUUAGGGAAGAACAAAUGUGUAAGUAACUAUGCACGUCUUGACGGUACCUAAUCAGAAAGCAACGGCUAACUACGUG
rnacentral:rRNA from 1 species